rnacentral:rRNA from 1 species
UGGGGGAUAUUGCACAAUGGGGGGAACCCUGAUGCAGCGACGCCGCGUGAGUGAAGAAGUAAUUCGUUAUGUAAAGCUCUAUCAGCAGGGAAGAAGAAAUGACGGUACCUGAGUAAGAAGCCCCGGCUAACUACGUGCCAGCAGCCGCGGUAAUACGUAGGGGGCAAGCGUUAUCCGGAUUUACUGGGUGUAAAGGGAGCGUAGACGGCGAUGCAAGCCAGAUGUGAAAGCCCGCGGCUCAACUGCGGGACUGCAUUUGGAACUGUAUGGCUGGAGUGCAGGAGAGGCAGGCGGAAUUCCUAGUGUAGCGGUGAAAUGCGUAGAUAUUAGGAGGAACACCAGUGGCGAAGGCGGCCUGCUGGACUGUAACUGACGUUGAGGCUCGAAAGCGUGGGGAGCAAACAGG